GAGAAUGUAAUUUAAGUAAUGUAAAAGAAAAUAUGAAAAUUUAAAGCCGUUCGUAGUGUGGCCACCUUUGAGUCCUCCCAUACGUCGAACCACCUACUGAGGAUUACCUAAAAAGUUUAAAAGAGGGGUGAGUUUACGAAAACUCAGUGUGUACAACCCUCAUCGAUCAUAAAACACGCGUCAUAUCAAUUUGGGCCUCAGCCCAUUACAAUAACAGUGGCACUUGGCCUUAGUCCACAGUAGCCUCAGUUGGCCUAAGCCCAUGUCACAAUCAAAAUCAGAUUAUGCACUGCACAAAUACCCAAC
rnacentral:lncRNA from 1 species